GAAUUCAAAUAUUUUUCUAGUUUAAAUAGGCGCUCACCUGUAUAACGAGAGGAAUAAUUUUCAUGUCUUAGUUUAAAUAGGUGCCCACCUGUAUAACGAGAGGAAUACUUUUCAGUCUUAGUUUAAAUAGGCGCCCACCUGUAUAACGAGAGGAAUAUUUUUCAGUCUAGUUUAAAUAGGCGCUCACCUGUAUAACGAGAGGAAUAAUUUUCAUGUCUUAGUUUAAAUAGGUGCCCACCUGUAUAACGAGAGGAAUACUUUUCAGUCUUAGUUUAAAUAGGCGCCCACCUGUAUAACGAGAGGAAUAAUUUUCAUGUCUUAGUUUAAAUAGGCGCCCACCUGUAUAAUGAGAGGAAUAAUUUUCAGUCUUAGUUUAAAUAGGCGCCCACCUGUAUAACGAGAGGAAUAAUUUUCAUGUCUUAGUUUAAAUAGGCGCCCACCUGUAUAAUGAGAGGAAUAUUUUUCAGUCUUAAUUUAAAUAGGCGCCCACCUGUAUAACGAGAGGAAUAAUUUUCAGUCUUAGUUUAAAUAGGCGCACAUCUGUAUAACGAGAGGAAUAAUUUUCAUGUCUUAGUUCAAAUAGGCGCCCACCUGUAUAACGAGAGGAAUACUUUUCAGUCUUAGUUUAAAUAGGCGCCCACCUGUAUAACGAGAGGAAUAAUUUUCAUGUCUUAGUUUAAAUAGGCGCCCACCUGUAUAACGAGAGGAAUAAUUUUCAGGUCUUAGUCUAAAUAGGCGCCCACCUGUAUAACGAGAGAAAUAAUUUUCAUGUCUUAGUUUAAAUAGGCGUCCACCUGUAUAAUGAGAGAAAUAUUUUCAGUCUUAGUUUAAAUAGGCGCCCACCUGUAUAACGAGAGGAAUAUUUUUCAGUCUUAGUUUAAAUAGGCGCCCACCUGUAUAACGAGAGGAAUAAUUUUCAUGUCUUAGUUUAAAUAGGCGGCCACCUGUAUAAUGAGAGGAAUAUUUUCAGUCUUAGUUUAAAUAGGCGCCCACCUGUAUAACGAGAGGAAUAAUUUUUAGUCUUAGUUUAAAUAGGCGCCCACCUGUAUAAUGAGAGGAAUAUU
rnacentral:lncRNA from 1 species